UAUCUGGUAUCAUUUAUCACAGAAAUUAGAGCUAAACUUCUACUACAUUCUACUAGAAUUCUGGAGCUAGCUUGUGCAUCGUGUGAAAGAUCAAAUAUCACACUCAAAUUACCAGUUCCUGCAGCUUUGACUCUCUGAGGAACAAGUGAAAACCAUAGGCAACGAAGAUAUGCAUCUCCUCUUGCAGAAGCCAGGCUAUUUUCCCCAACCCAAUGGGAAUCCUCUUGCUACAGAACACUUUGGUUGUGCUGGAUCUGAUGGUCCCUUCUGUCCUCCUUCAUCCAGAGGGCUGAGCUUAUGUCCAUCAAAUGCAGAGAAGGAAACAGCAAUGCCGUAGCAAAAGGAUGCCCUUACCUACAAUACAAUGGCAAACAGAAGCUAAAGACUUUGGCUGUGGUCUGAGCCAGUAUGCUUCUGGAUACCAGUUGCUGGAAACUGCAGG